UGGGAGUAACAGAGGGAAACUUCUGAUAAUACUGGAUAAGUUAGUAUAUCGCAUGAUAUGCAAAUGAAAGCUACGGCACUAAAGGAGAGCUUUGCGUCCUAUUAGCUAGUUGGUAAGGUAAGAGCUUACCAAGGCGAUGAUAGGUAGCCGGCCUGAGAGGGUGGACGGCCACAAGGGGACUGAGAUACGGCCCUUACUCCUACGGGAGGCAGCAGCC
rnacentral:rRNA from 1 species